UUGGAUGUGGAGAUUGGACAACUUCAAGAACAACGUGAUCAGCUAAUGCAGCAUCGGAAAAGGAAGAUGCACAUUAUACGGAAGAUCGACAAGGAAAAAG